rnacentral:pre_miRNA from 1 species
UUAACUCAAAAUUGUAUGGAGUUGGAACGAUUGCCUACGUUUGCCACUAGGGGCGCUGUUCCAACCGCAUACAAAUUUGGGUUA